GUGCUCGCUUCGGCAGCACAUAUAUUAAAUUGGAACGAUACCUGCGCAAGGAAGACAUGCAAAUUCGUGAAGCGUUCCAUAUUUUU
rnacentral:snRNA from 1 species